rnacentral:rRNA from 1 species
UACAGAGGGGGCAAGCGUUAUUCGGAAUUAUUGGGCGUAAAGGGCGCGUAGGCGGCUUGGCAAGUGGAUGGUGAAAUCCCGUCGGCUUAACCGGAGGAACCUCGACCGUCCAAACUUGCUUCGCUUCGGAGACGGGAGAGGUGACGUGGAAUUCCCAGUGUAGCGGUGAAAUGCGUAGAUAGUUGGGAGGAACACCAGUGGAGAGGCG